AUACGAAGGGCCCAAGCGUUAUUCGGAAUCACUGGGCGUAAAGAGUACGUAGGCGGUUUGGUAAGUCAGGUGUGAAAUCCCGAAGCUCAACUUCGGAACUGCAUCCGAUACUGCCAGACUAGAGUAAUGGAGAGGCAGGUGGAAUUCUCGGUGUAGCAGUGAAAUGCGUGGAUAUCGAGAGGAAGACCAAUGGCGAAGGCAGCCUGCUGGACAUUUACUGACGCUGAGGUACGAAGGCUAGGGGAGCGAAAGGGAUUAGAUACCCCGGUAGUCC
rnacentral:rRNA from 1 species